rnacentral:rRNA from 1 species
CUUGCAUCGGGUCACGGGCAGACUAGAGUGCGGUAGAGGAGACUGAGARGUUCGUUGRURUAGCGGUGGAAUGCGCAGAAUAUCAGGAGGAACACCGAUGAUCGAAGGCAGGUCUCUGGGCCGCAACUGAUCAUUGAGGAGCGAAAGCAUGAGGAGCGAACAUGACGGAUGCCCUGGUAGUCCAUGCCGUCAACGUUUGACACUAGUUGUGGAGCUCAUUCCACGAGUUCCGCGUUGCAGCUACAGCAAUAAGUAUAACGCCUCCGGAGUACGAGURCGAGGCUAAGACUCAAAGUAAAAGGAGGGGRCCGGGGCAAGCGCAGGCGCAGGAGCAUUAGUUCUAUUCAGACGCAACGAGCAUAACAAGGCCUGRCAUGUACAUGAAAGCCCCCGAGACGGGAUUCUCGUUGGUCAUUGGUACACAGCAGGCGCAUGGUUCUCGUCAGUUCUCAUCGUGAGAUGUGAGGUUAAGGCCUACAUCGAGCACAGACCUCAUCCCAUGUUGUCAGCGGGUUACGCCGGGGACUCAUGGGAGAAUGCCGGGGUCAACUCGGAGGAAGGUGGGGAGGGGGUCAAAUCAUCAUUCCCCUUAUCUCUUGGGCUUCAGGCAUCUACAAUGGCCAAACAGAGGGCUGCGAUACCGUAAGGUGGAAUAAUCCCAAAAAUCCAGUAUCAGUUCGGAUUGGGGUCUGCAACUCGACCCCAUGAAGUCGGAGUUGCUAGUAAUCGCAGAUCAGCAACGCGGCGGUGACUACGUUCCCGGGCCUUGU